rnacentral:rRNA from 1 species
CAGCCGCCGCGGUAAUACGUAGGUGGCAAGCGUUGUCCGGAAUCAUUGGGCGUAAAGCGCGCGCAGGCGGUCCUUUAAGUCUGAUGUGAAAUCUUGCGGCUCAACCGUAAGCGGUCAUUGGAAACUGGGGGACUUGAGUGCAGGAGAGGAAAGCGGAAUUCCAUGUGUAGCGGUGAAAUGCGUAGAGAUAUGGAGGAACACCAGUGGCGAAGGCGGCUUUCUGGCCUGUAACUGACGCUGAGGCGCGAAAGCGUGGGGAGCAAACAGGAUUAGAUACCCUGGUAGUCCACGCCGUAAACGAUGAGUGCUAAGUGUUGGAGGGUUUCCGCCCUUCAGUGCUGCAGCUAACGCAUUAAGAACUCCGCCUGGGGAGUACGGUCGCAAGACUGAAAAUUAAAGGAAUUGGCGGG